UAAAUUCAUUUCCUUCACAUUCGCCCCCAUUCAUCUUCUCUCUCUGGCGAUUUUCAAUUUAGGGUUUCACGAGAUCUAUGGUAUGAGCAAGAUCUCACCAGAUCCAACAAUGGUGUGGUCUGUAAAAGUGGUUGAGACAAGAUCUACGCUUCAAGAUCAGUCGAUUCAACCCGAGGUUUCUCCAGGCGAACCUAGGGUUUCUUUAUCAGUCGCUUCAAGAUCUACGCUUCCUCAGUGAUGAAUCUCUCUAGAUCCGACACCAGAUCGACUGGUUUGACCGCUCGAUUACCUGGUGGUUGUGGGUGGAAGACGGUGGCGAUGACACAAAGAUCUACCGUUUGGUGGCCAGAUCUACCGUUUGGUGGCCAGAUCUACGUUUGAAGUUGAAGGUACUGUCCAGAUCUUAACUCAGUUUCACGGCAAAAUUUAUCUGAAUUUUCAGCUGGUGUGUUCACGUUCACGUUUACGGUAAAUCUGGUAUAACUAUUUGUUUGUUAUUGAUUAAAAACUGUUUUUAAAGCUGUGAUUGACUAAUUUCCUGUUGUGUUAUAAUCGGAUUUGUUGUUGUAGCUGAUUGAAGAUGAAUUUAAUGAUUAAUAACUGUUUUGUUAGGCUUUUUUUGUUUAACUCAGUUAUAUGGGUUUUUGUUUUAAGUUUGCUUGAUUAUGUAUCUUUUAGACUUCAUUUAAGCUGUUAAACAAAGCAAUUGAUUCUAGAAUCAACUUCUUUGAUUCGGCUGAAAUGUAAGGGUUUUCUUUUUUAUGUAAGUUUUUUGUGAAUAAUGAAGAAUUUGGUUUGAGAUUUGUUAAAGUAUCCGGUGCCGCAGCGGGCGGAAAGUUAUGGAUGCAGUGAAGAGUAUUUUGGACAGUGGAUUAGAGAGAGGAAAGUGGGUGUUUGAAUCAAUUAUGAAAUUGAAAAGAUCUGUUUGCCACAAAGGUUAAUUUUAUCUAUUUAGUCCUUUGCUGCAAGAAUAUGAUAUGCAAUGUGUUUUAUAGGUUUGUUCAACUGAUCAAGUAAUUUGUAAUUUAUAUAAACAAAUGAUAUAUGUUGUUGGAUGUUUGAAUCAAUUAUGAAAUUGAAAAGCUCUGUUAGGGUACUGCUUAUUGAUUUUAAAAGUAACCGGUGUGGUUAUUUCUAAUUAUGUUUGCAGGUUAGUGGCCCUUCAGGGCAAAUGACUUCUAACAAGCCGAAAGUUUGUUGUGAAUGGUACGUAGUAUUGUGUUCUAUUUCAGUAUGAAAAACUAAGGGACACUUUUGUUUUGAUGUUAAAUGCAGGGAUCAUAAAUGGCAUUGAUGUUACUGAAUGGGAUCCAUCCUCAGUUGAACAUAUCUCUUCUCAUUACACUAUUGACGACCUUUCAGGAAAGAUGGAGUGCAAGAUUGCUCUACAAAAGGAACUAGGUCUUCCAUUCAUCCGGAUUGUCCAUUGGUAAACUAUCUCUCUCCGUUGAUGACUGGACUGAGCUAGACUUCCCCUUUCGUUAUAACUGUGUGAAUCUAACGGAUUGGAUUUAUUGGGAGACUGGACUACCAAAAAGGAAUCAAUGUAAUACUCCCUGCAGCUCCAGCCUUGCUGCAAGAGGAUGUUCAAUUUGUUAUGCUUGGAUCUGGAGAGAGACAAUAUGAAGAGUGGAUGAGAGCAACUGAAGCAGCAUUGAAUAGUAAAUACCGGGGAUGGGUUUGAUUUAAUGUUGCUAUUGCUCACCGGAUAACUGUUGGGGACGUAGCAGGCAGUAGCUGUGGUGGAAACCAGUCAAGGCUAGGGGUUUCUGGAGGGAUUCCAGUAACCAGAUUACCCUUUCUCUUUCUUUAGAAAUGGUAUUGAAAAUGGUGAGGGAUUAAUGAUGGGUUGUCUUAUAUGAGUUGUUUGAGGAAGAACUGAUCAGCCUGCAGCCCUACACCAACUUCAAAAUGUGAUUCAACAUCAACAUCAGAUGGUUUUUUGGCUCACAAUAAAGAGAUGAACUUUAUGUCUUCUAGAUUUUAAGUUCAGGGACUGAGUUCUGAAUUCAAAUAGUCUGUGGCGAGAUGAUGGUGACUGAUAGCGCCACGGUAACCCAUCUCCACUGCUCGCAGCUGCUUUAUUAACCUCCAGAAUAGUUAACGAGUUUUUCGGUUUGAUUCAUCUCCUAAAGGCGGCUCGUCGGACACCCCUCCGUGUUUGAAAUCAUUGGGUCGGAUGUUUGAGUCGAACAGACUCGAUCUAGCUUUUCCCGAGCUUAAGAUUGAGCUGCAACUUUCUUGAUAAGUCACGAAUGGUGAGGUGACGAUGGAAGCACGUGUGCAUAAAACAAAAGGAUGGUGUUUGAAAGAACCGAUGGCGAAGGCUGGUAUGGUGGCAUUUGAGAUUGGAAGUUAGAGUUAGUCUUUUGAUCUGUUAGAAAGCUUCGUUUGCUAAUUGAACUAUUGUUUGAUUCUCACAUUUUAAUUUCUUAGCAUCAAUUUGAGAUUCUUCAGUU